AGUCAACUCGGCCAAGCUGUCAGUGUUAGUGAUAUAAGUCCGAUUAAGUCUGUUCACUGAAUUAAGUUGGUCUUUCACGUUUUCACUUGAGUGAGUUUUACUGGUGAUAUGUAUGGUACCACUAGGAACCGAAGGGCACACCUGACAGACAGGGUGAGUGGCAGUAUGAUGGAAAGAGUAGCCGAAGAUCGCAGUAGUCGCCACACUUUUCCGGUAAUUGUAAAUGAGGAUACAUUAUGGCAACCGACACCGAUGAUAGACGAAGAUCACCAUCAUCCACUUACUUGGUGGAAAGAGACUGGCGUUGGCGAAGUAUAGUUAAGCCUGCGCCAAACAUUUAUGAGAGGGAUGUAAUAGUUCGAAAAGCCAAGGCUGUUGGUCUUAAGUUUAAAGCAGUUUCGGUGAGCAACAUUUUAAGGCCGCUCUUGGAAAACUAUGCCCAUGAGAAUGUAAUAUCACGCUAAAUUUAGUGUUAAGAAAAAUGUGGAUGACCAAAGCGUGGACCAAAGAGUGGAACCAGAUGAAUGCAAUUUCUCAAUUCAACUCAAUUUCUAUGUUAGAAAAGUUUUCAUUUGAAUAAGUGUACCAAAAAAAUUUUGCAAAAAAUAAACUGCGUACAGGCGAUAGGAGAAAAAUCAAGGGGGUUGGAUUAGGUUAUCUGUUCUUUAAAUGGAUUAGCAAUUGAUGAAGGUCCCAAGAAAUAGUGAAGGCAGGAAAAUCCAGCUCCUAUAGCCCACUGCUGUCUCAAUCCACCCAAAACAACGGUUUUUUUAUGCUGUUUUGAUUUGAAAGAAUGCUCAGAAAACAAAAGUUUUAAUUGCAAAGUAUAGAACUUAUAAAUAAUUUUAGUUUGAAACACUAAAUGGGGGAGAAAGUUUUAACGAAGAAAAAACCGUUUUUUUUAAUUUUCUUAAUAAAAUUUUAUAAAUAGAAGUUUUCCUAAAUAGAAUACAUCAAUACCCUUUUGAUUGAGGUAGUCUUUUGAUAAUUUAAAAAUUAUAUUUAUUAUUUUUCCUCCCGCUGUUCCACUCACGGAGGAUGAGAAGAGGGGCAACGCUCCAUAAGCCCAUGCAGAAGGAAUUGGACCCACUCGUGACCCCCUACUAAAAGAUCUGUCAGUAUUAGAUAGCCAAGGGUGCCAGUUUUGAAAACACUGCCUUGUAGUUAAACCUGACACGCCCUAUUGAUAUAAUGAAACAAGCAAAAGAAAACUGUCAAAACAGGAAAAGUGUCAUGACAAACUACUUGAAAAUGGAAUUACCCUGACCUUUUUUUCCCUCUACUGGCAACCCUGGUCAUGUAGUACAAUUUCCUCAACCUGGCUACUUUUUAGUAGGGGGUGAUGCAGGUAGUCGUUUUAUUAACAAGGCAUUGUUUCUCCUUCAUCCCUCCCUCCAUGGUCCCAAUUGACCCGUGUCCCAUUUCACCCCAUCAAAAUGAAGCAAGCAUUUAUCUGAAACCUUAUGGAGCUAAUAGAUAUCUACCUGUACUUACGUAUAGAAACUUAAAUCAGGGAAUCGACAUCAAAUAUUGAACCAAUUUGUCACACAAUGAAAAAUAGGAGGCAAUCUGACUUUGUAGGGCGGUGCCAAAAUUGGAAAUUCAAGAAAUCUGUCCCCGAAGCUUUGAAUUGCUUACACUGCCACUGCUGUUGUCUCAUUGCAAGAGCAAAUGGAGGGUUGAUAAAAUUGUUAAUUUUUUUUUGCAAAGACUAACAACAGCUGUGCUUGGCUUCAAAACGCAUGUACCAAAACGGUUUUAGAUGACCCAAUAACUCAAAAAUCUAGGAUAAUCAACUAAAUGGUGUAUUUUAGGAGUGAUACUACAUUUUAGGGUAGUUUUUUAAUUUAUAAUAUUUCUUGUAAGACGCUGAAAAAAGUUAUCUUUGUAAUUGACAAGAUAUUCUUCAAUCGAAUCUUCCAGCAGAAGAACUUGGAAUUCAGAUUCAGAAUCGAUAAAAACGAGACGACAUGUUCUUAGAAGGACAAUGAAGCAGUGCUAAACCUGAUCGGAUUGACCUGGUUAUCGUAAUAAUCUAACUGCAGGCAACCAUAGUUGGGCGGUAGUCUGUUUGAUAUUUCAUUUAAUGCGUUGCUUUUAUUCAAUAGAGCAAGGUUUAUCAACCAAUUCACUGUAAACAUCCGUACAGGAUAUAUCCGUACUUGAAAUUCUUGAUUUUAUUGUUGACCCGAUCAAAGUAAAGCAUUUUUUUUUCUGAAAUGCAGAUCAUUCUUUGAAUAACCAGUGGAAGAAUUCCUUCCAGAAGGUCAUGCAUCACGUCAGGUUCCAGCCCUCCCAGGUGAAAAAGUACUUAGAAUGUACUUAAGUAAUAAUAUGAGAAAACUCAAGUAAUACUGAAGGAUUUUGGGACAAGUAUUAUGACAAUAAUAUUUUGAAAAUACUACAGAAUUACUAGAGCAGAAGAUUAUUUGUUUUAAUGAAGCAAACAGUACUGAAGCAGUAAAUUUCAAGUGAAACCCUAGUAAAGUUAUAAUGAAAUGCAGUAAAUGUAAAAUAUUAUAACAGUAAUUCCGCAGUAAUAGUGUGAGAAUACCGUAAAUAUAUAGUGCGUUUAGCACAAUAAUACUGCAAUAUAAAGCUAAUAAAAUAUCAGUAAAUAUGUAA
rnacentral:lncRNA from 1 species